GGCGGCAUGCCUUACACAUGCAAGUCGAACGCGAAAGGGGGCAACCCUGAGUAGAGUGGCGAACGGGUGAGCAAUACAUCGGAACAUUUCCUGUAGCGGGGGACAACCCCGAGAAAUCGGGGCUAAUACCGCAUACGAUCUACGGAUGAAAGUGGGGGACCGCAAGGCCCCACACUAUAGGAGUGGCCGAUGUCGGAUUAGCUAGUUGGUGAGGUAAUGGCCCACCAAGGCGACGAUCCGUAGCUGGUUUGAGAGAACGACCAGCCACACUGGGACUGAGACACGGCCCAGACUCCUACGGGAGGCAGCAGUGGGGAAUUUUGGACAAUGGGCGCAAGCCUGAUCCAGCCAUGCCGCGUGAGUGAAGAAGGCCUUCGGGUUGUAAAGCUCUUUCAGCGGGGACGAAAUAGCGCGGGGUAACAUCCCGCGUCGAUGACGGUACCCGA
rnacentral:rRNA from 1 species